rnacentral:rRNA from 1 species
UACGUAGGCGGAAAAUUUAGUCAGUGGUGAAAUCCCGCAGCUUAACUGGGGAACUGUCAUUGAUACUGGUUUUCUUGAAUUUAGUUGAGGUAGGCGGAAUGUGUAAUGUAGCGGUGAAAUGCUUAGAUAUUACACAGAACACCGAUUGCGAAGGCAGCUUACUAAGCUAUGAUUGACGCUGAGGUACGAAAGCGUGGGGAGCGAACAGGAUUAGAUACCCUGGUAGUCC